rnacentral:sRNA from 1 species
UUUUUGAUUGCGUUAGAGAUUGUAGCGAAAAGCCCACAGCGACCAUUGGGAGCGAGGACUUGGAGCGGAAAGCACGACCGUGA